AGAACGUAGCGAAAUGCGAGACUUGUGUGAAUUGCAGAAUCCCGUGAACCAUCGAGUCUUUGAACGCAA
rnacentral:rRNA from 1 species